GAUGAACGCUGGCGGCGUGCCUAACACAUGCAAGUCGAACGAAGCACCUUAUUUGUUUUCCUUCGGGACUGAUUAUUUUGUGACUGAGUGGCGGACGGGUGAGUAACGUGUGGGUCACCUGUCUUUUACAGGGGGCUAACCGUUGGAAACGGCUGCUAAUACCGCAUAAGCGUCCAGCAUCGCAUGCUGCAGUGUGAAAAACUCCGGUGGUAUAAGAUGGACCCGCGUUGGAUUAGCUAGUUGGUGAGGUAACGGCCCACCAAGGCGACGAUCCAUAGCCGAGCUGAGAGGCUGGCCGGCCACAUUGGGACUGAGACACGGCCCGAACUCCUACGGGAAGCAGCAGUGGGUGAUAUUGCACAAUCGGCGAAAGCCUGAUGCAGCGACGCCGCGUGAGCGAAGAAGUAUUUCGAUAUGUAAAGCUCUAUCAGCAGGGAAGAUAAUGACGGUACCUGACUAAGAAGCACCGGCUAAAUACGUG
rnacentral:rRNA from 1 species